GUGUUGAAAGACUCAUCAUGUUUUAACAACCUUUUUUUUUUUUUCCAAGGGAUAUCUUCUAACCAUACCGAUGAUUCUCCGUAUAGCUGGUCUUUUCCACCUUAUCAUCCUUCCUCUGAGAAGUAUGAAAACACUAAGACAUGUCGAGGGCCAGAUGGAGAACUCCAUGCCAACCUGCUUUGCCCUGUGGAUGUGCUGGAUGUUCCCGAGGGCACCUUGCCUGACAAACAGAGCACUGAGCAAGCCAUACAGUUGUUGGAAAAGAUGAAAACGUCAGCCAGUCCUUUCUUCCUGGCCGUUGGGUAUCAUAAG
rnacentral:lncRNA from 1 species